UCCUACGAUGGUGAAUGUGAU
rnacentral:piRNA from 1 species